GACGAACGCUGGCGGCGUGCUUAACACAUGCAAGUCGAACGGAAAGGCCCUGCUUUUGUGGGGUGCUCGAGUGGCGAACGGGUGAGUAACACGUGAGUAACCUGCCCUUGACUUUGGGAUAACUUCAGGAAACUGGGGCUAAUACCGGAUAGGAGCUCCUGCUGCAUGGUGGGGGUUGGAAAGUUUCGGCGGUUGGGGAUGGACUCGCGGCUUAUCAGCUUGUUGGUGGGGUAGUGGCUUACCAAGGCUUUGACGGGUAGCCGGCCUGAGAGGGUGACCGGCCACAUUGGGACUGAGAUACGGCGCAGAAUCCUACGGGAGGCAGCAGUGGGGAAUAUUGCACAAUGGGCGGAAGCCUGAUGCAGCAACGCCGCGUGCGGGAUGACGGCCUUCGGGUUGUAAACCGCUUUCGCCUGUGACGAAGCGUGAGUGACGGUAAUGGGUAAAGAAGCACCGGCUAACUACGUG
rnacentral:rRNA from 1 species